AGUCACAGACAGCCUCUACCUGGUGAGGGUAAGAUGAUUGAAGGAGCUUUAGCUUCUCAUCUUUUCAAGUUCGAGUCAAGCUAGAAAUAAAGAAUACUUCUUCCCUGGCUCAGAUCAAAAGAUUACACUGGAUCCCUGAGAGUCUGAACUGUUGGGAGGCCUCUUCUACCAUCCCACCACUAAGAGUUUCAUGCAAAAUACGCUUCCUGACUGAGUGGCAACCUUCUCUCUCCUCGAGUUUCUGUGAGUUAGUCCUGCUCAUCUCUGCCCCA